AGACAUCAGGGCGCUAGGCUUCCUUUGAUGGAAAAGUCUUAGCACCUGGUCUUAACUUCCCGCCGAUAAAUGUCCGCGCAGCCCAAUCCCCUGGUGGCCCAGACUCCCUCGGGGCCUCUCCUCGCGCCUCAGUAGCAACUCCGCCAUCUUGGCUAGAACCACUCUUUCGAGGACUACAAAUCCCGGCAUCCAAAGCAGGUAGCCGCUCCUGGCCAGGCGUCUGGAGCCACAGAUGGUUCAGUAUCCCUAUUUGUCAUUUCCUCCGCCAAGAAUGCUACCAUCCCGACUUCAAACAACCCUGCUUACUUUUGCCGCUUUAGAAGUUUAUGUAAAGUCAACCACAUGAGAGAGCAAGAGAGAGAGCGUGAGUGGAGGAGAGGGGC